UACGGAGGGAGCUAGCGUUGUUCGGAAUUACUGGGCGUAAAGGGCGCGUAGGCGGCCUUGCAAGUCGGUUGGUGAAAGCCCGGGGCUCAACCCCGGAGGUGCGGCCGAGACUGCAGGGCUGGAGGCCGGAAGAGGAGGGUGGAAUACCCAGUGUAGAGGUGAAAUUCGUAGAUAUUGGGUGGAACACCGGUGGCGAAGGCGGAUCUCUGGGCCAUAACUGACGCUGAGGAGCGAAAGCAUGGGGAGCGAACAGG
rnacentral:rRNA from 1 species